rnacentral:rRNA from 1 species
UACGGAGGGUGCAAGCGUUAGUCGGAAUUACUGGGCGUAAAGGGUGCGUAGGCGGACUUAUAAGUCAGACGUGAAAUUCCGGGGCUCAACCUCGGAGCUGCAUCUGAAACUGUGAGUCUAGCGGGAUGGCGGAGAAAACGGAAUUCCACGUGUAGCGGUGAAAUGCGUAGAUAUGUGGAAGAACACCUGUGGCGAAAGCGGUUUUCUAGCCUAAACCGGACGCUGAGGCACGAAAGCAAGGGGAGCAAACAGG